rnacentral:ncRNA from 1 species
GAUGUUCGAACGGGGUGUAUCGAGACAUAUCGAUGCUGAGAGUGGUCAGCCACAACCCGCAAGGCGUUCAAACAGCGCCCAUUACCUGAUCCGGUUCAUGCCGGCGGAGGGAUUUCGAAUCACGCACGCC